rnacentral:rRNA from 1 species
CCUACGGGGGGCAGCAGUGAGGAAUAUUGGUCAAUGGUCGGGAGACUGAACCAGCCAAGCCGCGUGAGGGAUGAAGGUACAGAGUAUCGUAAACCUCUUUUGUCAGGGAACAAAGACGGGGACGCGUCCCCGGAUGAGUGUACCUGAAGAAAAAGCAUCGGCUAAUUCCGUGCCAGCAGCCGCGGUAAUACGGAGGAUGCGAGCGUUAUCCGGAUUUAUUGGGUUUAAAGGGUGCGCAGGCGGUCUGUUAAGUCAGCGGUAAAAGCCCGGGGCUCAACCCCGGCCGGCCGUUGAAACUGGGAGUCUCGAGUGGGCGAGAAGUAUGCGGAAUGCGCGGUGUAGCGGUGAAAUGCAUAGAUAUCGCGCAGAACUCCGAUUGCGAAGGCAGCAUGCCGGCUCCACACUGACGCUGAGGCACGAAAGCGUGGGUAUCGAACAGGAUUAGAUACCCGGGUAGUC